UACGUAGGGUCCGAGCGUUGUCCGGAAUUACUGGGCGUAAAGAGCUCGUAGGUGGUUUGUCGCGUUGUUCGUGAAAACUCACAGCUCAACUGUGGGCGUGCGGGCGAUACGGGCAGACUAGAGUACUGCAGGGGAGACUGGAAUUCCUGGUGUAGCGGUGGAAUGCGCAGAUAUCAGGAGGAACACCGGUGGCGAAGGCGGGUCUCUGGGCAGUAACUGACGC
rnacentral:rRNA from 1 species